CUCCUCUCUCUUCCCCUGACUGGCUUUGCUGGGCUCUGAGGCGCUGAGCUGCUCUGAAGGGCAGCUGCUUGAGUGACUAAGAACAGGCUCUCACCCUUCAAAUACAGCCAAACGCUUCACUCUGAUCUGCUACGUGGAGGCAGCAGUUCCAUGGCUGACUCUGGUCAGACUGCAGGAGCAGGUAUCAUGGAAAAAGCAGACUUUACCUCUGUUUGAAGUCUCCGUAGAGGAUCCUAUUUGGGAAGCCCUUUCGGCAGAUCCUGAUGCCUUCCAGCACACCGUUACAGCGUAGCUGGUGCAUCACCAGAGGGUUCUCCAUGGCCCCAGGAGUCUUGGUCUCAUUGGGGAUGAUGCAGCGCACAAAGUGAGGGUGGGUUGACCUCAGGUUUGUCAUCAGCUUGUUCAGGUUCUCCUGAGAGUGAAAAGUUUCCAGUUGAACGUCAUUAUGUUUGACGUCUCUUUGUGUUCUUGUUUUAUGCCUUUAAACUGCCGCUACCAGCUGUUAUUACCUGAUCUUUUCAUUUUUGGAUGGUUCAGCCUAACUUUUGAUAUUUGUCCUGGUUUGAAGAGAUCGCAAACAUACCCUGUGGAGAGCAGAUACAGUCUGGAAAGAGGAUCCCUUCUUCUUCUUCUCUUUCUUGCCCUCCUUUGCAUCUUGCAACGCUGAACAAUUGGGAAUCAAGAAAACGUAAUUAUAUAUAAAAAAACAUCAGUUCAUACUAGUUUUUUUAACCAUCAUACAGAGCAGUUGUACACCCUGUGUCACCUUAAACUGUCGCAAGAUUUUAAUUAGCAAUUAAGCAUUUUCCUAUUUGACAUUACCUUGAUCUGCACUAGCAUAGUUAGCAAAAAGAGUAGCCAGCAACUUGAGCGAUGACUUCUGGUACAAUCCCACCACAGUCUCAUUCAGAGGGUCCUUGUUCUUCACCAGCCAGUUGACAAUGUUGUAAUCAACAGUGCCAGCAUAGUGAA